rnacentral:rRNA from 1 species
AUUGAACGCUGGCGGCAGGCCUAACACAUGCAAGUCGAGCGGAUGAGUGGAGCUUGCUCCAUGAUUCAGCGGCGGACGGGUGAGUAAUGCCUAGGAAUCUGCCUGGUAGUGGGGGACAACGUUUCGAAAGGAACGCUAAUACCGCAUACGUCCUACGGGAGAAAGUGGGGGAUCUUCGGACCUCACGCUAUCAGAUGAGCCUAGGUCGGAUUAGCUAGUUGGUGAGGUAAAGGCUCACCAAGGCGACGAUCCGUAACUGGUCUGAGAGGAUGAUCAGUCACACUGGAACUGAGACACGGUCCAGACUCCUACGGGAGGCAGCAGUGGGGAAUAUUGGACAAUGGGCGAAAGCCUGAUCCAGCCAUGCCGCGUGUGUGAAGAAGGUCUUCGGAUUGUAAAGCACUUUAAGUUGGGAAGAAGGGCAGUAAGUUAAUACCUUGCUGUUUUGACGUUACCAACAGAAUAAGCACCGGCUAACUUCGUGCC